rnacentral:rRNA from 1 species
GAAUUUUCGGCAAUGGACGAAAGUCUGACCGAGCAAUGCCGCGUGAACGAUGAAGGUCUUCGGAUUGUAAAGUUCUGUUGUAAGGGAAGAAUAGUAUAAUCAGGAAAUGGGUUAUAUGUGACGGUACCUUACUAGAAAGCCCCGGCUAACUAUGUGCCAGCAGCCGCGGUAAUACAUAGGGGGCAAGCGUUAUCCGGAAUUAUUGGGCGUAAAGAGUGCGUAGGUGGUUUAUUAAGUCUGGUGUGAAAUUUCACGGCUUAACUGUGAAGGGUCAUUGGAAACUGGUAAACUUGAGUACGGUAGAGGUAAGUGGAAUUCCAAGUGGAGCGGUGGAAUGCGUAGAUAUUUGGAGGAACACCAAUGGCGAAGGCAGCUUACUGGGCCGGGACUGACACUGAUGCACGAAAGCGUGGGGAGCAAACAG